GUACAAUAAGAACUUCAAGACUCUGAAGAAAGAAAUUGAAGAAGACCUCAGAAGAUGGAAAGAUCUCCCAUGCUCAUGGAUUGGCAGGAUUAAUAUAGUAAAAAUGGCCAUUUUACCAAAAGCAAUCUACAGAUUCAAUGCAAUCCCCAUCAAAGUACCAAUCCAUUUCUUCAAAGAGUUAGACAGAACAAUUUGCAAAUUCAUCUGGAAUAACAAAAAACCCAGGAUAGCUAAAACUAUCCUCAACAAUAAAAGGACUUCAGGGGGAAUCACUAU
rnacentral:lncRNA from 1 species